AUUGAACGCUGGCGGCAUGCCUUACACAUGCAAGUCGAGCGGGGUGAUGGUGCUUGCACUAUCACUUAGCGGCGGACGGGUGAGUAAUGCCUAGGAAUCUGCCUAUUAGUGGGGGACAACAUCUCGAAAGGGAUGCUAAUACCGCAUACGUCCUACGGGAGAAAGCAGGGGAUCACUUGUGACCUUGCGCUAAUAGAUGAGCCUAAGUCGGAUUAGCUAGUUGGUGGGGUAAAGGCCUACCAAGGCGACGAUCUGUAGCGGGUCUGAGAGGAUGAUCCGCCACACUGGAACUGAGACACGGCCCAGACUCCUACGGGAGGAAGCAGUGGGGAAUAUUGGACAAUGGGGGGAACCCUGAUCUAGCCAUGCCGCGUGUGUGAAGAAGGCCUUAUGGUUGUAAAGCACUUUAAGCGAGGAGGAGGCUCUUUUGGUUAAUACCCAAGAUGAGUGGACGUUACUCGCAGAAUAAGCACCGGCUAACUCUGUGCCAGCCGCCGCGGUAA
rnacentral:rRNA from 1 species